AUACGGAGGGUGCAAGCGUUGUUCGGAAUCACUGGGCGUAAAGGGCGCGCAGGCGGGUUGGUAAGUCAGAUGUGAAAGCCCACGGCUCAACCGGGGAAGUGCAUUUGAAACUGCCAGACUUGAGUACCAGAGGGGAAAGUGGAAUUCCCGGUGUAGAGGUGAAAUUCGUAGAUAUCGGGAGGAAUACCGGUGGCGAAGGCGACUUUCUGGCUGGAUACUGACGCUGAGGCGCGAAAGCGUGGGGAGCAAACAGGAUUAGAUACCCUAGUAGUCC
rnacentral:rRNA from 1 species